rnacentral:rRNA from 1 species
GACGAACGCUGGCGGCGUGCUUAACACAUGCAAGUCGAACGGAAAGGCCCUGCUUUUGUGGGGUGCUCGAGUGGCGAACGGGUGAGUAACACGUGAGUAACCUGCCCUUGACUUUGGGAUAACUUCAUGAAACUGGGGCUAAUACCGGAUAGGAGCUCCUGCUGCAUGGUGGGGGUUGGAAAGUUUCGGCGGUUGGGGAUGGACUCGCGGCUUAUCAGCUUGUUGGUGGGGUAGUGGCUUACCAAGGCUUUGAAGGGUAGCCGGCCUGGGAGGGUGACCGGCCACAUUGGGACUGAGAUACGGCCCAGACUCCUACGGGAGGCAGCAGUGGGGAAUAUUGCACAAUGGGCGGAAGCCUGAUGCAGCAACGCCGCGUGCGGGAUGACGGCCUUCGGGUUGUAAACCGCUUUCGCCUGUGACGAAGCGUGAGUGACGGUAAUGGGUAAAGAAGCACCGGCUAACUACGUG